CCUGGGCCUGGGCGCCCUGCUAACCAGCCCUGUCCUCCCUGCCUGUGCAGAGACGCCUGCAAGGCCUGGAGCAGGAGAGUGGGGCUCAGCGGGCCCACCUGGAAGCCGAGCUGAGGAGCCGGGACUCGCGCAUCGUGGAGCUGGACGGGUUCCUGCAGGAGAAGGAGUGGCUGCGGAGGGACGCGGCCACCCAGGGGGUGAGAGGAGCCCCAGCUGGGGCGCUGCAGUCGGGAAUCCAGCGGUGCAGACUCCAGAGGCCUCGGCUACAUGUGAGCUCCUGGCCCGGCGCCUGGCUGCCCUGGAGGCAGAGUUAGCUGCAGCCCACCUGCAAAGCCAUGAGGACACCGAGCACUGGGAGAGACGCUGCAGGACCAUGGCAGCCGAGUGGGAGGAGGAGAGGCAGAGAUUAUUGCAGCAGCCACGGCAGCCACAGGAGACGGCGCGUCCAGCAGAGACGGCGCAGCACCUGGAGACAUCCCAUCGGGGGCAGCCAAUGAAGCGGGUGGCUGUGGUGCAGCCAGCGCAGCAAUGGGAGACAGCUCAGCAGGUGGAGACAGUGCUGCAGAACCUGCCAAUGCAGCAGGGGCUGGUGGUGCAACUGGUGCAGCCGUUGGAGAUGGUGCAGCAGGUGCAGCUGGUUGAGCGAGUGGAGCCAGCCCCACAGAUGUCUGCAGCUGGAUCGCAGUUGACUUUGGAGGCCAGAGGCUUCCCAGAGCCGACUCUGCCUCCCACUCCUGCUGGAGGAGCCGCUCCUUCCCCAGGGCCCACCAGGCAGAGGGGCGCCCCCAGAGCAGGUGCUUCCCCGGAUGCCCUGUCCCAGUCCCAGUGCGGGGCGAUCGCAGCGCCUGCAGCAGGACGCCGUGGAGUCGACAGCCACGUGGUGGCCUUCAUAGAGACCUUGCGGGCAGGACUUAUGGCUAAAGGUAAAGCCAGUGGGAAUGGGGGAAGGGCAGCAGCAGCCCCCGGCGUGUCCGUAGCAAGCCGGGGUUCACAGGCAAGCAGCGCGCUCCUUAUCCCACGGCAGAGGCCCUAGAGUUAGUGGAAGCAGCCUGUUCCUGGGGCCCUGCCACCCCACCAGGCUAGUCCUGCCUGGGACUAGCUGGUCCUUAUCUGGCCCCAUCCCCAUUCGAUGUAUUUACUCUCCCAGCCUGGGGCAGGGCCAGGGCCAGGGCCAGGGCCAGCUCCAGCUUUUUUGCC
rnacentral:lncRNA from 1 species